rnacentral:rRNA from 1 species
AGAAUCAACGCUGGCGGCGCGCCUAACACAUGCAAGUCGAACGAGAAAGCCGCAAGGCAAGUAAAGUGGCGUACGGGUGAGUAACACGUGGAUUAUCUGCCCUCUAGUGGGGAAUACCGUUGGGAAACCGACGACAAUACCGCAUAAGCUCGAGAGAGGAAAGCAGCAAUGCGCUGGAGGAGGAGUCCGCGGUCGAUUAGUUAGUUGGCGGGGUAAAAAGCCCACCAAGACUGUGAUCGAUAGCCGGCCUGAGAGGGCACACGGCCACACUGGCACUGAAACACGGGCCAGACUCCUACGGGAGGCAGCAGUGGGGAAUCUUGCACAAUGGGGGAAACCCUGAUGCAGCGACGCCGCGUGAGCGAUGAAGCCCUUCGGGGUGUAAAGCUCUUUCGUCGGGGAAGAUUAUGACGGUACCCGGAGAAGCAGCUGCGGCUAACUACGUGCCAGCAGCCGC